rnacentral:rRNA from 1 species
AUUGAACGCUGGCGGCAGGCCUAACACAUGCAAGUCGAACGGUAGCACAGAGAGCUUGCUCUCGGGUGACGAGUGGCGGACGGGUGAGUAAUGUCUGGGAAACUGCCCGAUGGAGGGGGAUAACUACUGGAAACGGUAGCUAAUACCGCAUAACGUCGCAAGACCAAAGUGGGGGACCUUCGGGCCUCACACCAUCGGAUGUGCCCAGAUGGGAUUAGCUAGUAGGUGGGGUAAUGGCUCACCUAGGCGACGAUCCCUAGCUGGUCUGAGAGGAUGAGAAGCCAAACUGGAAAUGAGACAAGGUCCAGACUCCUACGGGAGGCAGCAGUGGGGAAUAUUGCACAAUGGGCGCAAGCCUGAUGCAGCCAUGCCGCGUGUAUGAAGAAGGCCUUCGGGUUGUAAAGUACUUUCAGCGGGGAGGAAGGCGGUGAAGUUAAUAACUUCACCGAUUGACGUUACCCGCAGAAGAAGCACCGGCUAACUCCGUGCCAGCCGCCGCAGUAA